rnacentral:rRNA from 1 species
UACGUUAGGUAGGUAAGGUCACGGGAAGACGACCCGUUGAUAGGUGUUAAGUGGAAGUGCAGUAAUGUAUGGAGCUAAGACACACUAACAGACCGAGGGCUUGACCUC